UUAGGCAAAAAGGAAGCACUGCGUUCUGCCGAUGUCAGUAAUGAUGCAGCGGGACUUGCUGAAAAUGAAAGUGACUUGCAGAAAAAGUAGUUCCUCUGAAGAAUCUGCUAAAGAAGCAGCCAGACCCGUGCGCUUGGAGAGAGGAACUCUUUCAUGCGGGACGCCUACAGAAGAAACCCUGCUAUCGUCCUGCCUCUGCAAGGCGCUGAAGUAAGCAUUGAAAGCUGAGAUAGAGGUGGGAGCUCAGAAGUCAUCUUCACAGUGUUGUCCACCUUCCAAAAUGACUUUUAACUGUCUCCACUUCCUAAGGUUCAUGUUCAUGCUGGAUUGCAAAAGACUGAGGCAUCCGUGUUGCUAGCAAACUCUCUGCUGCCUGCUGGGUGCUUCAGGUACUACCGACUGAUGAAGGAGGGGGUUAGAUUGCGGACCGCCAUCUUGGUAAUGCCCAUGUAGCAAGGAAGCGAGGGGAGCUUGUGGCCGACAGCAAGCCAGAAACUACGGCUCUCAUCCCAAUAUCUUAAGAGAACUAAGUGUUGCCACAGACCAGCAGCAGACUUGACGGUAGGUCAUGCUCCGGGGUCUUCGGAUGAGACCGCCCCUUGAUGGCAGUCUGGUGAGAGACCGAAGCUAAGGCUCCAAAGAAGCUGUGCUCACAUUCCUGGCCCCUGGAAACAAUAGGAUAAUGAACGUGUGCUGUGGAUUUAAGGACAGAUUCUUCCCAAGUGAUUAUGUGAGCCAACUGUCAAGUGUAUGGUAAGAUCCCAGAACAUCUAAGAGAGGGCAGGACUUCCUCAUCCUGGACAGUGGUGGGCCAGGCUAGCUGGAUCAACCAUUCUGCUGAGAACAGCUCAAGGUGCUGGAUGCAGUACUAUACGCGGUCUUUACAAAAGCACCGAGCACUUGUUUUAAGUCUCCUGGGAUGCGGGUCAGAGAAAUAAAAGUGGUACCUAAUAUGUGGUACUGUGGACGUGGAACCCCUGCUGAAGGAAGACGCUGCCACUGUAGAAGAAAAAUGACCACAUCCGGAAAAUCAAAGACAAGAGGAGCAGGAAUAUGGAAUUGAACUCACGACCUUGCUCUCACCAGGCAGGUGCUAUGCCACUGAGACAAAUCCCCAGCCCCUUACCACAAUUAUCGUUGCUGUUGAAAUGCUAGAAAAGCUCAACGGGAAGCCGGUCUCCCUCUGCCUGUCUUUUCAGGACUCCUGAGAUUCCGUGUAAAGCCUCCUAGAUAAUCCAAGGCUCUUCUCUGUGCAAUCCUGGUGCGGCUCCUGAAGAUAAAACCCGUGAAAGUGUGACGACCCCUCAGACCUAACCUGCACGAGUCCCUUAUCCCUGAUCUAGUCCAUGAACAGCUUUGAGUAACUAGUCAAAACUACUGUUGUGGAUUCUCCCUUUGUUCAGCUUUUAUUUGUAAGGUCCAGAGUGACAAUUUACACGCCGUUUGCAUGCCAGAGCUGAAACGUGAAGUCUCCUGCUGCUCCAUCAUCUUUAUUCUUUCUUGAUAGUUUUGUUUGGUUUUGCACGUUUUUGUUGGAGGGCCAAUCUUGCGCGCGCUGACACUGUGAAUAUCGUCUCCCCACGUUCAAGGCUGAUUUCACUUCGGCCAGUAGGUGGAGCCCUUAGGCUUCGUUUCCUCUUUUCUCUUAAGGUGAGCUUGACCUCUGCUGGUAAAUUAGAGAAAGACACUCAAUAGCUUUUGGAAACUUUGGUAGGGUCAGGGACCCCAUAUCAAACGCAACCAUGGACAAGACAGCUGUGGUUUAAAAAAAAAAAAAAGUAAAACAUGCUUGUGCAAGAAAAUAAAACUGGGCAAAUAUUCUAACAAAUGGCACCUGGGACUUUGGCUGUAAUGGAGAGAAGCACCAGUAGAAGGUAGAGAUUACAGCAAAUAAGGGGUCAGUUAUUGCUCAGCCUCCACUGAUUUCCGCCAUUUCAGAAUGCUGGGUCUUCCAGUUUUUCAAGAAAAACCUGCACUUUUGUGAGAUCUGCACUUUUGUUAGUGUGAAAUGUCUCCCAGUAUUUCAAUGUCGUAAAUUAGUUUAAACAUUUCCAAACUAUUCCAAGAAAACAAGAUACAAGUAGGAGCUUGACGUAGGCUAUGCAUUGGAAACCAAAUCAAGGGUGUGAAAAACUGAUUAUAAGAGCCUAGCUAGAUUUUCCUUCAGCUGCAGCUACUGCUGGUCAGGUGUGGGUACUGCUAUGGUGUGCAUCUUAAAUAUGCCCCCCAGACACUCGUGUGUUACAGACCUCGUUUCCAGAUGGUGGCACGCUUGGGAGGUCGUGGAAGUAGAAACUUUAGGGCUUGGGUCAUUGGGGGAGUGCCCUGAAGAGGCAAAUCUUGUCCCCAGGUCCCUGUGUUCUCUGUCUAUCUUCUUCCUUGUCCUAGUUACUUUUCUCUUGUUGCUGAGACAAAAUACUUGAUGCCCAAAAUUAAGUAAGGAAAG